CCUACGGGAGGCAGCAGUGGGGAAUAUUGCACAAUGGGCGAAAGCCUGAAGCAGCAAAGUCGCGUGAGCGAUGAAGGCCUUAGGGGCGUAAAGCUCUGUUCUCAAGGAAGAUAAUGACGGCACUUGAGGAGGAAGCCACGGCUAACUACGUGCCAGCAGCCGCGGUAAUACGUAGGGGGCUAGCGUUAUCCCGAAUUACUGGGCGUAAAGGGUGCGUAGGUGGAUUCUUAAGUCAGAGGUGAAAGGGUACGGCUCAACCGUAGUAAGCCGUUGAAACUGGGGAACUUGAGUGCAGGAGAGGAGAGUGGAAUGCCUAGUGUAGCGGUGAAAUGCGUAGAUAUUAGGAGGAACACCAGUUGCGAAGGCGGCUCUCUGGACUGUAACUGACACUGAGGCACGAAAGCGUGGGGAGCAAACAGGAUUAGAUACCCCAGUAGUC
rnacentral:rRNA from 1 species